AUUAAACAUAUAUGAGUGUAUGAAUUCAACUCACCUUUCUAUACACAUCCAUUGCUUUCGUUGUUCGUAGAUCAUGUGCGUACCUUUGUAACCGUAAUCGACAUUGUAAAAACAGCAGUAAGGCAGAUGACACAAAUACUGUGUCCGCCUUAAUUGUUGUCUGUGCUGUUUUUAUAAUGUAAACAACUCCACACACUUGCUGUUUACACCAAAACAAUCUUGAUAUUUUUUUUUUCUUGUAGGAGGAUUUGCUUCUAACUGCGGCAGUGACGUUGUGUAUUGUCCUCAGGAACGCUUGCGGUGUGCACAUUUGUCUAAUUUGUUUCACUGUGCUGCUGCUGUCUUUACAGCUUCUGCUUAUUUCCUUUGGCCGCACCUUAUAUUUGUUGUCUUUGUCAACAUCUGACCUGUUUCUGCCUUUCUAAACCUGGUAUGUAUAUCUAUUUGCUAAGGGCAUGCUUCUGCUCCUUUAAAGGUUGCUUUAACUAAUAGUGGUUUGAGUCAUUGUGUAUGACACCAGAUAAUUAUUGUUCUAAAAUGGUGGCAAAGCUUGUCCGUGCACAGAUUUAAAGUAUGGAGAUGCUAAACAUUAAAAUGUUCCAAGUUGCCACAAAGUAUUACACGCAUUUAAAUUUGCAGUCGCAAAAGACGUACUAAAAGUAUAAUCCACAAAAUUUGCUUCGAGGUGUCUUGAGACAAUGAAUUGUAGAGAAAGAAUUCUAUUGUGAGUUGCCAAUGCUUGUCGUGAGCUCUAGCCCAUUUUUCUAUGCAGCCACUGUUGCUUCGUUGUCUGUGCUUGUUACUAACAAGAAAUUGAGCUCCGUGGUUCCCCUGAUUUUUGUAGCUCAUAAAAUGCAAAUGUCUCGACAUUGGCAGUGUUAGUGCCUCAAGGUAGAACACGAGUGUUCAUUGGCCAGUUGCCUGCUUUUAAGAUAAUGUUGUAUUUAAUGUCAGGGGUUUAAAGGAUACUUCACAUCUGCCAUCAUGGCUGUUUGUUCUGCUGUCUAGCACUUCCAGGACAAAGUUUGGUACACAUGUGAAACUAUCCAAGAAAAUGGACAUUGGGACAACUGCUGACGUAGCUCACUUGGUAGAGCAUCGCAAGCGCAAAGCAGAAAAUGUUGGUUAAACUCCAACCGGCAGCAAGUUGUCUCUUAAUGCAAAGCAUUAUCAUGAUCUAUUUUCGAAUUUCUUAGUACACCUGCCCAGGUAGCUUCAUUAAUAAUUAGUAAUGCUCCUGAUGGUGGGUAUUGAACGCGAGUCCCUAGUGCAGCAGCCCAAUUAUUUGCCCAUUAGGCUACAGAUGCAUGCAUAGCUCGCCAGAUUAACCGCACUGGUUCUCUCGUAGCAGCUAAUGCUUUCAGGUGUUAUGUGACACUCGCAGAGUUUGGGAUUCACCCGUUUCAGCUCAUAUGCAACAUAUAAAGCAGGUGUUGUGUUUGCUUUGGUGACGCGUUGUGCGUGCAAUUGCUUUUGGUUUGUAUUUGGUAUUUGUAUUUUGUUGUAUUGUGCUUUGUAUUCGAUACUGUGCCCAAAGAAAAAAACAUUUGUAAGCAGGUGCUCGAGUGACGUGAAGCUCACUCUCCCUCAUUCUCUCUUGCAGGUAGUGCAUCCAGUUUAGCGCCGUGCACAUGUGUGGGGCAUUUCCUUGUUCUUAUUGUGCUGAUGUGCCGUGUUGUACAUAGGAGGAAAGCCGGUCCUCCACAAUAUGGUUGUCAGUGUUGCUGAAUACAACACAGUCUUGCUGCCUUGACACGCCACAUCAUUUGACAUCUUGGGGUGAGGUGGCAUCUUGCUGCUCCUUGUGGUCAGGCAUAGCCAAGACUGCAGGUAGAGUCCGCACACAAAGUUCGAGGUUGAACUAUAGAACCAGCACGCCCAAUAAAUGUGUGUGCAAAUUUAGCUCUAAGCGUGCUUUAUGUCAGGAAUAAAGAUUCACAAAAGGGGCUUGGUCCAUGGCCAAGCAGAGUGAGCACGAACAACAACAACCGUCUUCUUUCACAUCCUUUGUUGGUGCCUGCCUUUGCCGCUACGUAGUAAUUAAUUAGUAAUUAGUUUGCUAAGCUAUCCAUAACUGAGAACUCGAUCGAGCAUAGAAAGAAACAUGACUAUAGGCUCCUGUGUUUCUUAUGUUUAAAUCACAAUUUGUAGGUAUCAAACACAGCAUAGCAUAAAUGAUACAUUGGGCACUGCAACCCUGUGAUGUGCACAUUGAGUGCCUUUUCGCGUCUUCUUCAGAGGGUACUAGAGAUUUCUGGUUGGGUUGCCAUAGAUGUGUUAGCUCAGUGAAUCUUCCUUCCAAGGCAUUCAGUUUGUUAAAGUUAAGCCGCUAUAGAUGUGUCCUCAUUGUUCAGGUUACUUCUGGCGACACGACAACGUUCUUGUGGCUAUGAUGUGAUGCUUCAUGACACACAUGGUGCUCAAUUCUGAAUUAUUGUUGGCAUGCUUUUUCACAAAUGGUUUUAGUAAGAUGGUAAGAAUGGUUUUAGUAGCACAGGCGACGCAAAAUGAGCCACAGCAUAUGCUUUACCUCCAGCAUGUUCGUGAUCACCGAUGGCAUGUAAAACAGUGAUUCAGACCAAGCAUCGCAAAGAAUGAUUGUUGCCUUUCUUUCUUACAGGCUGCUGUGUUUCAGCUAAAUCUGCUUUUCCUGUGUCCAGUGGCCUUGUCGCUCAAUUAGUGCUUGCCAAUUUCCAUUACACUGCAACCCACUAAAAAUAUGAAAUUUUAGAA